rnacentral:rRNA from 1 species
AUUGAACGCUGGCGGCAUGCUUUACACAUGCAAGUCGAACGGCAGCGCGGGCUUCGGCCUGGCGGCGAGUGGCGAACGGGUGAGUAAUGCAUCGGAACGUGCCCAGUAGUGGGGGAUAGCCCGGCGAAAGCCGGAUUAAUACCGCAUACGACCUGAGGGUGAAAGCGGGGGACCGAAAGGCCUCGCGCGAUUGGAGCGGCCGAUGUCGGAUUAGCUAGUUGGUGGGGUAAAGGCUUACCAAGGCGACGAUCCGUAGCUGGUCUGAGAGGACGACCAGCCACACUGGGACUGAGACACGGCCCAGACUCCUACGGGAGGCAGCAGUGGGGAAUUUUGGACCAUGGGGGCAACCCUGAUCCAGCCAUGCCGCGUGCGGGAAGAAGGCCUUCGGGUUGUAAACCGCUUUUGUUCGGGAAGAAAUCCUCUGGGCUAAUACCCCGGGGGGAUGACGGUACCGGAAGAAUAAGCACCGGCUAACUACGUG